AUACAUAUGGUUAAAGUUUAGAGAACAGUUGAUGAAUAAUUGUGUAUUCUCCGUCUAUCAAAAGAUGUUGACUCUUUUCAUUCCGUGUACCAUAUUUUUGUUUGAAAAAAAAAACAGGUCACAUAAAUAAAAGUGUGUUGAAAUUGUGUUAAUUAAAUAAUUGUAUUAAAUAAUUUAAUAUGGAUUAAAUAAUUAAGUUUUCAACCGGAUGAAUUUAAUAAUGGCUAUAGCUUGCAGAGCCUGAACCCAACCCCCUACAUUUUCGGAGAACCAUCCCGCUUGAAUUUCCGGAUGACCAUAGUGCACAAUUUUGCUUAGUGUCCCUCGCUGGCACUCGGACGAUGAUCAGCCGCCUCUAACAUGGGGAACAGACGCUGUUCUGAGACGCUUCUAACAUGGAGAACAGACACUCGAUCAGAUUUGCACCCCCGGAGAGGAGCAAAUCCACUCCUCCCUUCCCUGUCAGCGGACGAGCAUAGUUCCCACCGGGGUUGGUUACCCGGUCUUCCCUAUAAGAUUGCUUACACCUCAGCCAGCACCACGGGGAAGGAAUAAAAGGAAUGCAGGGUUGCAGGGAAGAGGCUGGGGACCGUGAGAUUGGUCUAUUUUACUCCUUCAAGUACGCGAAGUACCAAUGUGAACCAUAAUGGGUUUCGAACUAUCUUAAGAACCUUCCGCCGAGACUUCCGCGGUCCCAAAAACCUCUGGAUACAAAUCGCCGAUCGGUUCAGUAGCUUCCGAGUCUAUAAGGGUCAGACAGACAGAAAUUAAUUUUUAUGUAGUAUUUAAGCAGUCCCGACGAACUUCGGAUCGCCUAAAAUCGAUUUAUUCUCUGAUUAGAUCUCGAGUUAUGCAGAAAUUUCUGUUUCAUUUGUAUGGGAGCCCCCCUUUCCAGAAGGGGGAGGGUUUUCAGAAACAUAGAUUUAGUUCCAUUCGCUUGAAUAAUUCUCGAGUAAUUUAGAAAUUGAUAUUUCAUUUGUAUUGAACCCCCCUUUCUAAAACGAGGAGGGGUCUCGAACCAUCCUAAGAACCUUCCCCGGCCCCAAAAAUCUCUGCAUAUAUUUUUUCACGCAGAUCGUUUUAGUAGUUUUUGAGUCUAUAAGGUUCAGACAGACAGAAAUUCAUUUUUAUGUAUAUAGAUUUAGAUAGAUAGAUAAUCCAUAAUAUACAGGAUUUAAAAAUAA